rnacentral:misc_RNA from 1 species
GAUGAAGAACGCAGCGAAAUGCGAUAAGUAAUGUGAAUUGCAGAAUUCAGUGAAUCAUCGAAUCUUUGAACGCACCUUGCGCCCUUUGGCCAUUCCGAAGGGCAUGCCUGUUUGAGUAUCAUGAACACCUCAACUCUCAUGGCUCGCCAUGAUGAGCUUGGACUUUGGGGGUCUUGCUGGCCUGUGGUCGGCUCCUCUCAAAUGGAUCAGCUUGCCAGUGUUUGGUGGCAUCACAGGUGUGAUAACUAUCUGCGCUUGUGGUUUUCCAUCAGAUAACCUUCAGUGAUGGAGGUUCGCUGGAGCUCAUAAACGUCUCCCCUAAGCGGGGACAGCCCUUUGAAUGUUUGAUCUCAAAUCAGGUAGGACUACCCGCUGAACUUAAGCAUAUCAAUAGCGGAGGA